rnacentral:lncRNA from 1 species
UGUUUAUUCGUUUAAUUGCUCGUUUAAUUGCUCGUUUAAUUGCUCGUUUGUUUAUUCGUUUAAUUGCUCGUUUAAGUAAAUAUGUACAUAUGUAUAUGUAUAUAUAAACACUUUUGUUCUAAUUUUUAAAUGCGUUAAUGGAUAUACGUAUAUUUUUGAUAAUGUUCAUUUUAUUAGUUGUUAGUGCUAAAAAAAAAUAUAAUUGUAACCAACACAUGUUUCAUACCCUUUUUAUAAAUAAUAUUUUUAAGUAUAACCGUUUAACAAACCGUUUUUUGUUAUAUAAGACAUAACUCUUAUUUACAAUCUACUCUUCCUUAUAAAAACAUGGAUGUCGAUUCCUCGUUUAUAGUGGCCUAUGUCACAACGCCUAGCAAGGAUGUUGCUGAAAAUAUAUCUAACAUAUUGCUAAAAGAGAAGUUAGUUAGCUGCGUAAAUAUUGUGCCCGGUAUUCUUAGCAUGUAUCACUGGAAGGGAGAAAUAGCAGUAAUACAACAGAAAAAAAAAAAAAAAUAAAUAAUAAUAAUACUAAACAUAAUAAUAAUACUAAAAAUAAUAAUAACACUAAAAAUAAUACUAAAAAUAAUAAUAAUAAUAAUAAUAAUAACAAUAAUAAUAAUAAUAAUAAUAAUAAUAAUAAUACUAAAAAUAAUACUAAUACUAAUAAAUAAAUAAAAAUACACA